rnacentral:rRNA from 1 species
UACGAAGGGGGCUAGCGUUGUUCGGAAUUACUGGGCGUAAAGGGCGCGCAGGCGGCCCUCCAAGUCAGGCGUGAAAGCCCCGGGCUCAACCCGGGAAUAGCGCUUGAGACUGGGGGGCUUGAGUUCGGGAGAGGAGAGUGGAAUUCCCAGUGUGGAGGUGAAAUUCGUAGAUAUUGGGAAGAACACCGGUGGCGAAGGCGGCGUCUCGGUG